UACGUAGGGGGCAAGCGUUGUCCGGAAUCAUUGGGCGUAAAGGGCGCGUAGGUGGCCCGGUCAGUCUUUGGUGAAAGCGCGGGGCUCAACCCUGCGUCGGCCGGGAUACUGCCGCGGCUCGAGCACUGUAGAGGCAGGCGGAAUUCCGGGUGUAGCGGUGGAAAUGCGUAGAUUAUCUGGAGGAACACCGGUGGCGAAGGCGGCAUCCUGGACCCGGUAUUGACGCUGAGGCGCGAAAAGCCCAGGGGGAGCAAACGGGG
rnacentral:rRNA from 1 species